CAAACCCAGCAGAAGAAAGGAAAUAACCAAGAUCAGAGCAGAACUAAAUCAAGUUGAAACAAAAUAAACUGUACAAAAGAUAAAUGAGCCCCUACCUCCCACCCGCCAUGGCCACACCCUGCGUGCUCUGGUGGCCGCUGAGCCUGUGUCCGGGAAGGCCAAACUGACACACCUGGGGGAGACGAUCCUGGCAGUUGGCCUGGCGGGCGGCAUUGACAUCUGCAUCACCUUCCCCACCAAUACGUGAAGACACAGCUGCAUCUGGAUGAACACUCGCACCUGCCACAGUACCGGGACACUGGGGACUGCGUGCAGCAGAUGGUCCACAGCCAUGGUGUCCUGGGCCUAUACUGUGGCCUCAACUCCCACCUCUGCAGCUCCAUCCCCAAGGCAGCCGUCAGGUUUGGAAUGUUUGCGUUCCUCAGCAACCACAUGCAGGAUGCCCAGGGACAGCUGGACAGCACGCACGAGCUGCUCUGUGGCCCAGGAGCCAGCAUGGCAGGGGCCAUGGUAGUCGUGUGCCCCAUGGAGACCAUCAAGGUGAAGUUCAACCACAACCAGACCUCCCCAAACCCCAAGUACACAGGAUUCUUCCAUGCGGUUAGGGAGAUUGUGUGGGAACAAGGGCUGAAGGGAACGUACCAGGGCCUCAUAGCCACCAUGCUGAAGCAGGGCUCAAACCAGGCUAUCUGCUUCUUUGUCAUGAUCUCCCUGUGCAACUGGUACUGAGGGAACAACCUCAACAAGCCCAUGAACCUGCUGAUCACUGGGGUCUUCAGAGCUAUUGUGGGUGCAGCCAGUGACUUUGGAAACACUCCUCUGGACGUGAUUAAGACCCAAAUGCAGGGCCUGGAGGUGCACAAAUACUGGAACACAUGGGACUGUGGCUUGCAGAUCCUGAGGAAGGAGGGCUCAAGGCACUCUACAAGGGCACUGUUCCUGCCUGGGCUGGGUUGUCCUGAAUGUGGCCAUAGUGUUUAUCAUCUGUGAUGAGGUGGUAAAACUGCUCAACAAAGUGUGGAAGACAUACUAAGCCUAGAGGCCCUCAAAGGAACCACCCCAGGCACCUCCAGAGUGCCCCACCACCCUUGUCUCACAUGAUUUCAGUGCAGUAGUGCCAAAAGGCCCCUUGCCAUGUCCCUCAAGCUCUGUGGCCUGGUCUCUGCAUUGUGGCCGUCAAAUCCAUGUGUUCCAUAGUGCCGUGUCCUCCCUGUGGUCUCUGUGUGACACCACCACUGUGUCCCAAUGUCUGGCCCAGCCAUGGCUGGGUGUGCAUCUGGCCUGUGACCCUGUGCCCACUUGUCCAUGUGCUUACUGUGAGCCCUGUGCCUGUGUUUCAUGUUCUGUGUCAUGUGACCAUGUGGCCUAGGUCCUCAGCCCUAUAUCACUGGCCUGGUCCCAGUGCACUGCCUUUCACCCUGCCCCAGCAUACCACAACUGCCUCCAGGCCUCGACCUGGCUUCACCGUAUUCCAGGGGCUGCAGCCCCCGACUUCUGCCACCAUUGGCCUUAACUGGCCCUUGGGGCCUCCCUCAGCCCAGGACAGGGUGGCAUCUGCCACUCUCAGGACCACCCUGCCAAGGCAGAAUAAACCAGAUUGUGUUGCAAAAAAAUAAAUAAAUAAAUGAAACAAAAAGCUGGUUGUUUGAAAAGAUAAAUAAAAUUGAUAGACCAUUAGCAAGAAGAGAGAAAAUCCAAAUAAGUUCAGUAAGAAACAAAACGGGAGAUAUUACAGCUGACACCACAGAAAUACAAAAGAUCAUUCAAGGCUACUAUGAACACCUUUAUAUACAUAAACUAGAAAACCUAGAAGAGAUGG